rnacentral:tRNA from 1 species
AGAAGCUUAGGUUAAAUUAUAAACCGAGGGCCUUCAAAGCCCUAAACAGGAUGCCACAACUCCUAGCUUCUG